rnacentral:lncRNA from 1 species
UACAGGGAAUAAGAGAUUUUUUGGGUUACGCACCUACUGCCAAUGCUGUCGUUGUUGUUGUCGUCGUCGAUUUCGCAAACUUAAACGUUUUUCUGCCCUCCGGACCUGGUUGGUAACAAUGCACGUGAACGGCACUCAGCGAUUAACGGAAUUGGAUAUACGGGAAUACGGAUACGGAUACGGAUACGAUAAGUAUGUGUGGUUGGUUCACUGGUUGGAGGAGCUCCACGCGGCUCCAAGAGCGAAUGGACAAUGCGUUCCAAGUGGCGUCGGGGAGGCUCUU